rnacentral:rRNA from 1 species
CCCUUAGAUGUUCUGGGCCGCACGCGCGCUACACUGACGAAUGCAACGAGCUUAUAACCUUGGCCGAAAGGUCUGGGUAAUCUCCAAAUUUCGUCGUGAUGGGGAUAGAUUAUUGCAAUUAUUAAUCUUCAACGAGGAAUGCCUAGUAAGCGCAAGUCAUCAGCUUGCGUUGAUUACGUCCCUGCCCUUUGUACACACCGCCCGUCGCUCCUACCGAUUGAAUGGUCCGGUGAAGCCUCCGGAUUGCGCGGCUUCGGCUGUCGCGAGAAGUUGGCUAAACCUUACCAUUUAGAGGAAGGUGAAGUCGUAACA